rnacentral:rRNA from 1 species
UACGAAGGGGGCUAGCGUUGCUCGGAAUUACUGGGCGUAAAGCGCACGUAGGCGGCUCUUUAAGUCGGAGGUGAAAUCCUGGAGCUCAACUCCAGAACUGCCCUCGAUACUGAAGAGCUCGAGUCCGGGAGAGGUGAGUGGAACUGCGAGUGUAGAGGUGAAAUUCGUAGAUAUUCGCAAGAACACCAGUGGCGAAGGCGGCUCACUGGCCCGAUACUGACGCUGAGGCGCGAAAGCGUGGGGAGCAAACAGG